UCUUGCCAUAUUUGUUAUGUUCUUAUAAGCAAACAAACACUUGGCAACUGUUAAGGUUUGCAUGAUCAUUCCAUUCAUUCACUAUGAAUAGAUCAAUGUUCCUAAUUGGGUUUCUCACCAUAGCAGCCAUUGAUUUUAGUUCCUGCAAUGGAAACCAUUAUGCUGUGAUGUGCCGGGAGGGCGAGAAACGAGUUCUUUUAAAGUUCAAGAAAGAUGUAGACGAUCCUUCAAACCGUCUCUCUUCUUGGGGGGAAGUGGUCGGAGAUGAUUGCUGUAGGUGGGAAGGAGUUGUUUGCGACAACUUCACUGGCCAUGUCAUUGAACUCAGCCUUGGAUAUUCUGAUAAGUGGAGGGGGUUGAGUGGUAAUAUAAAUCCUUGUUUGCAAACAUUGAAGCAUCUCAGGUACUUGGAUCUGAGUGGAAAUGAUUUCACAGGUUUACCAUUCCCAUCAUUCAUUGCUUCUAUGACACAACUGCGAUAUAUAGACUUGUCUAAUACAGGAUUUGUGGGAACAAUUCCUCAUGAGCUUGGAAAUCUGUCGAGUUUACGCUCUCUAAGCCUCAAAACUCAUUAUUAUGGCCUGAUGAACAUCAAGAACCUGGAGUGGCUUGCUCGUCUUUCCUACUUGGAACAUCUUGACUUAAGUGGCGUGAUCAUUGCCAAGGAACUCAACUGGCUACAGGUAAUUAACAACCUUCCUUUCUUGGUAGAGUUACACUUGCUUAGAUGUGAACUUGAUCACUUUCCCCCUCUUCUCAGUGCUAUUAAUUUUACAUCUCUUGCGGUCCUAGAUCUCUCCGGUAACUAUUUUAGCUCUCUCAUACCUGGGUGGAUCUUUAGCCUAGGUAGCCUUGUUUCUCUUCAUCUAAGCGAUUGCAAUUUUAUGGGCCAAAUGCCUGAAGGUUCUUGGAACUUGACUUCUCUUCAGACACUUGAUGUUUCUCAUAAUUACAAACUCGAUUCUACUUUACCGAAUUCAUUGUUUAGUACUACAAAUAGCCUCGUCCGUCUUAGCCUUGCACACAGUGGAUUUCAUGGUCCACUUCCUACACUAGUCCCGAACAUGACCAAUUUGUCUCAUCUUGAUCUAUCUUCAAAUAAUCUUGAUUCUACCAUACCUAGUUGGUUGUAUAGCUUUAGUCAUCUUGAGUUCCUCGACUUGGCCUACAAUAGGUUGGAAGGUGGAAUAUCGAACGAGAUUGGGAACCUAACUUCUGCCAUCUUCCUCAACCUAUCACAAAACAACCUCGAGGGAAGUCUACCGAAUUCCAUUGGAAACCUAGUUUCUCUACACAGCCUCGACCUAUCCUAUAAUGGACUUGAGGAAAGCCUACCGAGAUCGUUAGGAAAUCUUUGCAACUUGAUAAGUAUUGAUCUGUCACAUAACAAAUUUAGCGGAGAAUUAUUCACUCUCUCGUCUAAAUGCACUGCAAUACAUGCUUUGGAGCAUAUGCGCCUAGAUGAUAAUCAACUUUCCGGUCAUAUUCCUGAUCAAAUUGGACAAUUUGAAAAUUUGUCUUCUCUUUUGCUCAGUGGUAAUUUGCUUUAUGGUCCUAUUCCGGAAACUCUAGGAAGAUUGACUUCCUUAUAUGAAUUGUCAUUGGAGGAAAAUCAAUUAAAUGGAACUCUUCCACAAAGUCUUGGACACCUUUCAAAGUUACAACAACUUGAUGUGUCUAAUAAUUUGUUGCAUGGCACUGUAUCAGACGUUCACUUCACAAAUCUUGCAAAUCUGAAGGAAUUUCAUGCUUCUGGAAAUCGGUUGACUUUAAAAGUGAGUCCUGACUGGAUCCCUCCCUUUCAACUUUUAGAAAUAGAACUUGGAUCAUGGCAUUUAGGUCCAAAGUUUCCUAUAUGGCUCCAAUCACAAAAGAAUCUUGAGACUAUUGAUUUAUCCUACACUGGAAUAUCAGAUGAGAUUCCAACUUGGUUUUGGAACUCAUCUUUCUCGGUAGGCAGGCUAAAUCUCUCCCACAACCAUAUCCAUGGCCAGAUUUCAUAUAUUCCUAGCAAUAUCAAAAGGGCUUUCUUAAGCUCCAACAAUUUGAAUGGUACAUUACCCCGUGUUUCUUCGGACUUGAUUGAGCUUGAUCUUUCCAAAAAUUCAUUUUCUGGAGAGAUCUCCCACUUGCUAUGUGACAGGAAAAAUGAAGCUAAAUAUCUGGCAGUUCUGCUACUCAAAGAAAACUUUUUAUCCGGAGAAAUUCCUAAUUGCUGGAUGGCUUGGCAAUCAAUGACAGUCAUAGAUAUGGGAAACAACAAUCUGACGGGAAACAUCCCAAGCUCCAUGGGGCAUUUAGGCAGUCUGCAAUCAUUACACCUGCGAAACAACCAUCUCUCUGGAGAAAUUUCUUCAUCUCUUCAAAACUGCACAAAAUUAGUGGUGGUUGAUCUCAGUGAGAAUGAGUUUAUUGGAAGCAUACCGACGUGGAUGGGGGAAAGGCUUUUGCAUUUGAUGGUUCUCAUCCUCAGGUCAAAUAAGUUAGAUGGUGUGAUACCUCAAGCAUUUUGUCGUAUCUCAUCUCUUACAAUCUUGGAUCUUGCAAACAACAAUUUGUCCGGAGCAAUGCCAUGGUGCAUCAACAAUAUCACUGCCAUGACAAUGAAGCGAAACUUCAGUGGUGAUGCUACCUAUCAAGUUUCAUGUAGGAUAAACAAUAAUAAAGCUAUAUGUGACUACAUAGAUUUCUUGGAGAAUGCAUAUUUGGUGACAAAAGGAAGCAACAAUCGAUAUGACAAGAUUCUUACUCUUGUGACUAGCAUAGACUUUUCAAACAACAAUAUAUCUGGCAAUAUUCCUGAGGAUCUAACUAGUCUACUGGGACUGCUUUCAUUGAAUCUGUCCGGAAAUCAUUUAAUCGGUGAGAUUCCAAAGAAGAUAGGUGACAUGGGGUCGUUGGAAUCUCUUGAUUUAUCCAGAAACCAACUUGGUGGUGAAAUUCCUCCAAGUAUGUCAGGUUUGACUUUUUUGAGCUACUUGAAUUUGUCUUACAAUAACUUGUCAGGUAAAAUUCCAUUGAGUACCCAACUCCAAAGCUUCAAUGCUUCUAGUUUUAUCGGCAACAGGCUUUGUGGACUACCACUUACAAAGAAGUGCAGUGUUGAUGAUGUGAGAAAUGUAGUUCAUAAUGAAGGUGUUGGAUCUGAAGUGGAUUGGUUUUAUUUGUCGAUGGCUUUUGGAUUUGCUGCAGGUUUUUGGGGUGUAUGUAUUCCUAUAUUGUUGAUUAAGUCAUGGAGAUAUGCCUAUUUCCGAUUUUUGAAUAAUGUUUGGACAAGACUCUAUGUUUAUAUACAGGUAAAAUUUCAUUGAGCACUCAACUCCAAAGCUUCAAUGCUUCUAGUUUUCUUGCCAAUAAGCUUUGUGGACUUCCACUUACAAAGAAUUGCAAUGUUGAUGGCGAAACACCUAAUGUGGGAAAGGAAAGAGAUAAUGAAGGUGCUGGAUCUGAAGUGGAUUGGUUUUAUUUGUCUAUGGCUUUUGGAUUUGCGUGGCCAUCGACUACAAGGAAGUGACGGCGAGUUCAAUAGCCCAUCGUCGGUGAGUUCAAGUCUCGAGGUCUGAGCUUUGGCAUGGCUGUCGAAGGAACCCUAGUUUUCAGCUAGCAAGAUCUUUCUCUCUAUCACAAGCCAAGCUGGUGAUGGCAGAUAUCGUCUGAUCGAUGAUGUCGGCGAGCAAGAGGAGUUGGAUUCGGUGGCAGUGGCAUCGCCGGAAUUUGAACAAAUAGAUGUAAAUUUAAACAGAUAAAAAUAUUGGACAAAUAAAUAUGAAUUUGAACAAA